rnacentral:sRNA from 1 species
GGCAAGAGGACCGUGGGAAUGUGUGGAGAGGGUGGCUAAGAGGCCUGGAUCCCUGAGAGGGAUGCUGAUGCGCUCUCCUCCCUGGGAGGAUCCUCCUAGCUGGCUAUGCUGAGGACUACACCACGGGAGCCAUGAUGAAUUUUGCCAGCGUCUUUGCUGUCCUCUUUAACGGCUGUACAGGCAUCAUGGCUGGGGCCAACAUGUCAGGUGAGAGUCCCCGCCUGCUGCCUCCUGGGGGUUUGGGGCUGCCACCAUGAGGGACCCAGGGGGAUGGCUGGAGGGCUGACCUCACUCCCUCUGCUCCCCCCUCUCCAGGGGAGCUGAAGGACCCCAGCCGGGCGAUCCCUCUGGGCACGAUCGUCGCCGUCGCCUACACCUUCUUCGUCUAUGUCCUGCUUUUCUUUCUCUCCAGCUUCACUUGUGGCAGGUGUCUGGGGAGGGAUGGGGGUGGAGUGUCAAACAAGAUUGGUGCACCUGGGUGACCAGGGGAAACACAGGCUGGGGGGCUAGGGAGCAGAAACCCAGCUUGUUGGGGUGGAGGGUGGCUACCGGCGAUUGACAACCUAUAGCCAGCAGCUGCCAUGGACCCAGUACAGUUGCAGGCACUUAGCUUGGGAGUGAGGGUGGGUAGUGGCUUUCUACCCAGUUUGCAUUUCCACAAAUAUUUGGCCUCUUGUGCAUAUACCAUUAGGUAUGACAGCCGGGUGCAGUGGCUCACACCUGUAAUCCCAGCACUUUGGGAGGCUGAGGCGGGAGGAUCACUGGAGCCCAGGAGUUCCAGACCAGCCUGGGCAACAGAGCAAGAGCCUCCCCGCAAAUACAAAAAUUAGCCGGGUGUGAUGGCAAAUGCUUGUAGCCCUGGCUACUUGGGAGGCUGAGGUGGGAGGAUUGCUUGAGUCCAAGAGGUCGAGGCUGCAGUGAGCUAUGAUUACAGCACUGCACUUUAGCCUGGGGGUUGGAGUAAGACCUUGUCUCUUAAAAAAAAGAAAGGAAUGACCACUGAGUGAUUAAAUCCAAGGCCGCCCAGUGAAUACCAGGCGUAUCCCUUUGGCACAUUUGAUAUCUGAGUCUGAUCCUUAAGAUCGGGGCUGGAGAUUUUCUUACCCCGUGACGCAUGAUCAUUCGUGUCCUCCUUUCCCUCCUUCCUAGGACCCUGCUGCAGGAAGACUAUGGGUUCUUCCGCGCCAUCAGCCUGUGGCCCCCACUGGUGUUGAUCGGAAUCUAUGCCACGGCACUCUCAGCAUCCAUGAGCUCGCUCAUUGGUGCCUCCCGCAUCCUCCAUGCCCUGGCCCGGGAUGACCUCUUUGGUGGGUUCUCUGCUUCCUUGCUGGCUUGGAGCAUGCCCUCCCUUGUCUGUCUCUCCGUCCCCGCUGAGCCCUGGCUGAUGUGUCUGCUGUGGAUUCUGUUUUUCUAGGAGUGAUCUUGGCACCAGCCAAGGUUGUGUCCCGAGGGGGAAACCCCUGGGCGGCUGUACUGUAUUCUUGGGGACUGGUGCAGGUGAGCCUUCUUCUUCAAGGGGCCCUUUCCCUCACCCCACCAGCUGGCAGGAUGGGGAUGCAGUUAGAUGCAGGCUGGGAGACAAAUGCAAAGACAAAUGCGUAUGCACUUGGGGGUGCACUGGCGCUCUGCAGGGUUCACUGGCACUUUGUGGGGUUCACCAGCACCUUGCAGGUUGCCCCAGUGCUUUGCAGGGUUCAUUGGCACCCUGGGGGGUUCACUGGCACUUUUUGGGGUACACGGGCAUUUUGCAGGGUUCACUGACACUUUAUGGGGUAUACUAGUAUUUUUCAGGGUUCACUGGCACUUUGUGGGGUGCCCCAGCACUUUGAGGCAUUCACUGGCACUCUGUGGGAGGUACCAACACUGUGUGGGGGUUCACUGGUACUUUGGAGGUUUGGUGGCACUCUGUGGGGGUGCAUUGGCCCUUUCUGGGGUUCAUUGACACUGGGGCUGCACUUGCACUUUGCAGGACUCACGGGCACUUUUCAGGGUUCAUUGACACUUUGGGGUGCACUGGCACUCUCUGGGGUUCAUUGACACUUUGGGGGUGCGCUGGCACUUUGCAUGGUUCACUGGUACUUUCCAGGGUUCACUGACACUUUGGGGGUACACUGGCACUUUCCGGGGUUCACUGACACUGGGGAUACACUGGCACUUUUGGGGUUUAAUAGCAUUUUGGGGGUUCAUUGACACUUUGGGGGUACACUGGCACUUUGCAGGGUUCACUGGCACUUUCUGGGGCUCAUUGACACUUUGGGGGUACACUGGCAUUCUUUGGUGUUCACUGGCAUUUUGGGGGUGCACUGGCACUUUGGAUCAACGGCACGCCUCUUGGCCCUUGCCCAGCUGGUGCUCCUGGCUGGGAAGCUGAACACGCUGGCCGCUGUGGUCACUGUCUUCUAUCUGGUGGCCUAUGCUGCCGUGGACCUGUCCUGCCUGAGCCUGGAGUGGGCCUCGGCCCCCAACUUCCGGUGAGAGACUCAGAGAUCUGUGUCCCCAGAGAGAAGAAGGGAGGAAUGGGAAAACAGGGAGGACUUGGGCUCAGGUGUGGGGCCGGAGACUGCAGCCUCGUGUGCGGCCAGCCCUGAGUUUCCGUCCCUCCUCCCCUCCAUGCCUGCAGCCCCACCUUCAGCCUGUUCUCCUGGCACACCUGCCUGCUGGGGGUGGCCUCCUGCCUGCUCAUGAUGUUCCUCAUCAGUCCUGGCGCGGCCGGUGGCUCCCUGCUCCUCAUGGGUCUGCUGGCUGCCCUGCUCACCGUGCGAGGAGGCCCCAGUAGCUGGGGCUAUGUCAGCCAGGCCUUGCUUUUCCACCAGGUGCGUAAGUAUCUGCUCCGGCUGGACGUCCGGAAGGAUCACGUGAAGUUCUGGCGGCCCCAGCUGCUGCUCCUGGUGGGGAACCCCCGGGGUUCCCUGCCUCUGCUGCGGUUGGCCAACCAGCUUAAGAAGGGGGGGCUCUACGUGCUGGGCCACGUCACUCUGGGAGACCUCGACUCCCUACCCUCGGACCCUGUACAGCCGCAGUACGGGGCAUGGCUCAGCCUGGUGGACCGUGCCCAGGUGAAGGCUUUUGUGGAUCUAACCCUCUCACCCUCCGUGCGCCAGGGGGCUCAGCAUCUGCUGCGAAUCUCUGGCCUCGGUGGCAUGAAGCCCAACACGUUGGUCCUGGGUUUCUACGAUGACACUCCACCGCAGGACCAUUUCCUGACGGACCCGGCUUUCUCUGAGCCUGCAGACAGCACCAGGGAGGGCAGUUCCCCAGCUCUGAGCACCCUGUUCCCUCCUCCCCGGGCUCCUGGGAGCCCCCGGGCUCUCAGUCCCCAGGACUACGUGGCCACGGUGGCCGAUGCCCUCAAGAUGAACAAGAAUGUGGUGCUGGCCCGGGCCAGCGGGGCCUUGCCCCCUGAGCGGCUGAGCCGGGGGUCUGGGGGCACCUCUCAGCUGCACCACGUGGACGUGUGGCCCCUCAACCUGCUGCGGCCCCGGGGUGGGCCCGGCUACGUGGAUGUCUGCGGUCUCUUCCUGCUGCAGAUGGCAACCAUCUUGGGCAUGGUGCCCGCUUGGCAUAGUGCCCGGCUCCGGAUCUUCCUGUGCCUGGGGCCUCGGGAGGCGCCUGGGGCUGCCGAGGGGCGGCUGCGGGCACUGCUGAGCCAACUGAGGAUCCGGGCUGAGGUGCAGGAGGUGGUGUGGGGCGAGGGGGCCGGGGCUGGGGAACCCGAGGCGGAGGAGGAAGGGGACUUUGUGAACAGUGGGUGGGGAGACGCAGAGGCAGAGGCCCUGGCACGCAGCGCCAACGCCCUGGUUCGGGCCCAGCAGGGGCGCGGCACAGGAGGAGGGCCGGGUGGACCGGAGGGUGGGGAUGCUGAGGGCACCACCACAGCCCUCACCUUCCUGUACUUGCCUCGGCCACCAGCCGAUCCCGCCCGAUACCCCCGCUACCUAGCUCUACUGGAGACUCUAACCCGAGACCUGGGCCCCACGCUGCUGGUUCAUGGGGUCACUCCAGUCACCUGCACUGAUCUCUGAUGCCCCUGCCUCCAGGGCUAGGUAGAGAGGGCCCAGGCAGGCGGCCUAUCCUGAUCCUUGGAGGAGGAAGAGGAGGAGGGAAGCACUGUGUCCCAUGGCCCUGCUCUUGGGAGGUGGAGCCCAGGGGAGGUUUGAAGGGGAUCCUGGGCUUGGGCAUCACGCCCACCUCCUUUGGCAGAGGGACCCCAGCACACUAACUCUGGGCGGCUGUCCCCACCGUGCAGGGGAAGGAGUCCGCAGCCUCCCUUCACUGGUGCCUUGACGCUAGGGGCCAGGCCUCCUCCGUGACUCUGGGCUACCUCAGUUUCCCCAUUUUGGCAAGACUCACCGGCCCACUGGGGUGGUGAUGUUUUCGUUCUGUUUUAUUUUUCUAACUCUGCUGACCAUGAAUAAAAGACCAAAACACU